CACACGACUCUCGGCAACGGAUAUCUCGGCUCUUGCAUCGAUGAAGAACGUAGCGAAAUGCGAUACCUGGUGUGAAUUGCAGAAUCCCGCGAACCAUCGAGUCUUUGAACGCAAGUUGCGCCCGAGGCCAUUCGGUUGAGGGCACGCCUGCCUGGGCGUCACG
rnacentral:rRNA from 1 species